rnacentral:tRNA from 1 species
GGGGGAUUAGCGCAGUUGGGAGCGCGUUUGGCUGGCAGCCAAAAGGUCAGGGGUUCGAACCCCCUAUCCUCCA